rfam:Cicer arietinum chromosome Ca7, whole genome shotgun sequence.
CCAAAGGUUGUUAUAACAACCACUAAAGCUUAACCAACUUUAGUUAG